GGAGUUUGGACCGUGUCUCAGUUCCAAUGUGGGGGACCUUCCUCUCAGAACCCCUAAGGAUCGUAGGCUCGGUGGGCCGUUACCCCGCCGACAAGCUAAUCAGACGCAUCCCCAUCCCAUAGCGAUCAAUCUUUGCUCCAACUUAGAUGCCUGCAUUGGAGAACAUAGGGAAUUAAUCCGACUUUCGCCGGGCUGUGCCCUACUACGGGGAAGGUUGGAUACGCGUUACUCACCCGUGCGCCGGUCGCCAUCAUAAAUAGCAAGCUAUCUAUAUGCUGCCCCUCGACUUGCAUGUGUUAAGCCUGUAGCUAGCGUUCAUC
rnacentral:rRNA from 1 species